GAUGAACGCUGGCGGCGUGCUUAACACAUGCAAGUCGAACGAAGCGCUUUAACGGAACUCUUCGGAGGGAAGUUAUUGUGACUGAGUGGCGGACGGGUGAGUAACGCGUGGGUAACCUGCCUUGCACAGGGGGAUAACAGUUAGAAAUGACUGCUAAUACCGCAUAACCCGCUAGUACCGCAUGGUACAGACGGAAAAGAUUUAUUGGUGUAAGAUGGACCCGCGUCUGAUUAGCUGGUUGGUGAGGUAACGGCUCACCAAGGCGACGAUCAGUAGCCGGAGUGAGUGAGUGGACGGGCACAUUGGGACUGAGACACGGCCCAGACUCCUACGGGAGGCAGCAGUGGGGAAUAUUGCACAAUGGGGGAAACCCUGAUGCAGCGACGCCGCGUGAGUGAAGAAGUAUUUCGGUGUGUAAAGCUCUAUCAGCAGGGAAGAAAAUGACGGUACCUGACUAAGAAGCCCCGGCUAACUACGUGCCAGCCGCCGCAGUAAAAC
rnacentral:rRNA from 1 species